AUGAACGCUGGCGGCGUGCCUAAUACCUGCAAGUCGCGCGCACGGACGAGAAGCUUGCUUCUCUGAUGUUAGCGGCGGACGGGUGAGUAACACGUGGAUAACCUACCUAUAAGACUGGGAUAACUUCGGGAAACCGGAGCUAAUACCGGAUAAUAUUUUGAACCGCAUGGUUCAAAAGUGAAAGACGGUCUUGCUGUCACCUAUAGAUGGAUCCGCGCUGCAUUAGCUAGUUGGUAAGGUAACGGCUUACCAAGGCAACGAUGCAUAGCCGACCUGAGAGGGUGAUCGGCCACACUGGAACUGAGACACGGUCCAGACUCCUACGGGAGGCAGCAGUAGGGAAUCUUCCGCAAUGGGCGAAAGCCUGACGGAGCAACGCCGCGUGAGUGAUGAAGGUCUUCGGAUCGUAAAACUCUGUUAUUAGGGAAGAACAUAUGUGUAAGUAACUGUGCACAUCUUGACGGUACCUAAUCAGAAAGCCACGGCUAACUACGUG
rnacentral:rRNA from 1 species